AGGUAUCUUCAGCAGCCAAAUUCAGCUUACAGCAUUCACACUAACAUCAUCUCAGUGUGUCGUGGCGUGCGAGUGUGACAAACGCCAGGUGGAUGGCAUAGGAGUACAGGGUGACCACAAAGAGCAGCACCGCCAGCUUCAGCAGGGAGUUCAGCCGCAGAAAAACAGCACAGGUCACCAUGGCAACCACACCGCUCAGCACGAAGAUCUGAAUUUGACAGACAUUACUUAUUUAUGCAAUAACAGGCUGAGGUCACGCAGGAGCAAAAAGGAAAUGAUAUCAACCGGCAGAGGAGAUUGGGCGCCCGUUUUACCUCGGGGUAGGUGCAGAUGGUGAAAGGAGUCGAGCCUAUUUUCAUCUUCUCCAUCAUGUCAGUCUCAUCUGUCAUUGAGAGAAGACACCAGACCUGCGCACAGAACAUGAUUUGCAAAUAAGAAGCCACCAUUUCUAGUAUAAACACUCUUCAUGUUUUAGUGUAUUUGUAGUAGUAGUUGGUUUUCUAAAACAUUUAAACCGAAAGGCAAAAGGAUUCCUAUUCAGAUAUAGAGAGUAGUAAGGGGAAAUUAAUAAGUGUGUCUGCUUUGCUGCUUUAGUUACACAACUUUAUUUAUUAAAACCCCCUCAAAAGAUUGAACUAUAGUUGUAAAAAAAUGGAAAAUUUCGACAGCUAUAGUAGGAAGCAGUGAAUGCAAUUUAUUUAUUACGCAGAGAAAUUAAUCUGUGGGAGUUUUUUUUUUAAAUUGAACUACUUUAGCGAAGACGGAUUUGGGGUAAAACAGUGUGAAUUUGGAGUCUUGUUUGUUGUAUUAGAUUUUAAACAGUUAAGUGUAGAUCUGUAUGUAUUGCAUUUGUGGAAUAAACAAUUUAUUUUAUAUCAUUGUACAUCUGCUUCAGUCUGAAAAUCAACACAAAUAAUUUCAUAGUUUUGUGGUAAUAAAUUAUUAGAUCAUGUGAUUUAAAUUUAAGGAACCUUUAAGCACCAUGAUGGCAAAAAUCAAAGAAGACAUUCUUUGCCACAUGGUGGCACCAUAAGCUAGUUUUAUGGCAUUUUGUUUUUCCACAAGCAAUGCAAAAUUAUAGCAUUAUAAAGUUUAAUUGUUAAAGUGCAACAUAUGCAGCAAAAAGUUGCAAAUUUCCAGAGUAAAAAUUCACAUUUACGCAGAUAAAAUUGGUGAAUAUGGCUAAAACCAGGGGCGGAGCUACAGGGAGGCAAGGCGGUAUUUUCUUGUCAGGUUAUCUAUUUAUAUACUUUUAUAUAGCACUAAGCACUUAUAUGAUUCUUUCCUAGUUUCCUACUUUUCUUUUAUUACUUGUGUUUGCAGCUUCGUCUGAUUGUCUGUGCAGAUCUGAAACCGAUUUGAUUUCACGUUCUCACCAUGUCUGAAGAGGCCAGGGCAAAGUUGAUGAGGAUGGCAGUGAGAGUGAGGAGGUUGCGAGCGCUGUUGUUUUCGUGGAACCAGCAGCAGAUGUUCUGCAGCACCGCAGGCGUCCUCUUGAACUCCUCAGCGAGAGAAACCAGCAGCAGCAUCAUGUACGCAAGCAGGAAAACAGAAAACUGGAGGACAGCCGGAAACUGCCUGAAAUAUAGGGGAAAACAAAAGAAGAAAA